rnacentral:sRNA from 1 species
UCUGAUGCUGAGCUGGUUAGACAGGUGGCUUCCUUCUGGGACAGAUAGAGAAGAGGAACCUUCACUCAUGACUGGGUGAUAUUAUAAUUGGAACUCUGCUUGGUGCUAUCCACUAAGACCGGAAAGACACUCAAGACUGCCACAUGGGGUUCUGCUUAGAUCAAGGCCUGUUUCAGCAGCAGAUUUUCCCAGUUGCCGUUUUGAAACAGUGCUUACGUGUGACUUCAGUGCUCGGAGCCCUCCUCUGUUAAGCAUCACCAAGGAUGAAGGCUUCUUUCUGCAAGUGUCGUCCACCACAAGAAGGACUUCUGAAUCUCCAUGCCCAGCAAGGUCCUGGGUCCUCUUCUGAGAUCGCAGACAUUCAUGAGCUUCCCCCAGCCAGAAUCCUACAGGAGCCUCCAAACCAUCACUCCUCAAAUUAAGAUAAUACUGCUCAUUGGCACCAGAAAAGCUGACAAAGAACAGAAGAAGCCAUGCACAACUUCACCACACAUAAAACUCCACUGCCUUUCAGAAGGAAAAUUUUGGAAACAUGAGUUUCUCCCCAGUUUCUUUUCCCACAGCUCCUGACAACUGGCACACAUAGGAGCUAAAGGAUAAAGUUUUUAAUUUUGACAAAAUAACCACUGGCGUUUGUUAAGAGUUGUGUUGAAUGCACAGAUUUCCCAGCUAUUGUGGACGUUAGUAUUGGGGUACUCAGUUGGUGGGUAAUGAACGUAUUUAUUCUUAUGUAGGCUUUCUUCUCAUCUGGAGAAAUGUCUUGUUAUAUUCACUGUGAUUAUUUGUAUAAAAUAAAUUUCUGGAGAUCAGAAUAUUGGACCAAAGAGUACAAGAGCUUCAAUAUAUAACCAAUAUUUUCCC